rnacentral:piRNA from 1 species
UUGUAGUGCGGGUUGAAGACCUGAGAGU